rnacentral:rRNA from 1 species
UACGUAGGGUGCAAGCGUUAAUCGGAAUUACUGGGCGUAAAGCGUGCGCAGGCGGUUGUGUAAGACAGAUGUGAAAUCCCCGGGCUCAACCGUGGGAACUGGCAUUUGUGACUGCACGGCUGGAGUGCGGCAGAGGGGGAUGGAAUUCCGCGUGUAGCAGGUGAAAUGCGUAGAUAUGCGGAGGAACACCGAUGGCGAAGGCAAUCCCCUGGGCCUGCAC